GGGACAGUUAAACCCCACAGCCAGAGGCCGAUGGAAGGACCAGGUUAGCGGCAGGGCCCCGCCCCACGGGAGGGGAGGCAGCUCUGCCUGCGCAGUGAGGCUGCCGGCGACAGAGUGAAAAUGACAAGCAGGCCCGGAGUGCACAGGCAGGCAGGUGUGAGCGUGGAGAUGCCACACGUGUGAAUGAAAACAGCACGUGGGAAGACACGUGUGAGCGACACAGGCACCUUAACAUGGAAGAGGCAGCAGAGAGCAGCACAGAACCCUCGCGCCUAGCAGCGGAGACCCUGUCCUGACCCUAGCAUCACCACUGACUCACGGGCCACCUGCAAGGCCCUCCCCUUCUGUUUCACAAUCUGUAAAGGAGUCUGUCUUAGAUUGACGUUUCCCAGCCUGGUUUGUCUCUCUGGAUCCAUGGUCAAAUAUCCAUUCUAUGCCUGGAUGUGCAGGAAGGCGGUACACCAUCUGUCCAGGCAGGCAGCCCCUCGUCUCAGGCACUCCAUCAACUGGGACAGUCGCUCCCCUCCCAGAGGAAGCCCUCCCCCACAGCAGCAGGGACACUGGAGCUCGUCCUGGCUCCUGCUCCUGGCUCCCUGGUGUGGGCAGGCCACCCUCCCCGUGGCCCCCAUCCCCCAUCUCAGGCCCCCUCAAUCCACCAGCCUGAUCUGGCCUCCAGGGCAGCCCAAAAGGCGAGCCUUUGUGCCCUUCCACCCAGAGUCUCUGGGGGCUGGCUCCUUUGUGGCGUGUUCUCCAUCUCAUUUGCAUGUGGUUCAUUAAAUAUAAACAUGCAUAAAAAUCACCGCCCUGCCUCCUCGUCUUUGAGGGCCUCCUGGGAGUGUGUCUGAUGGGUGUGUGCGCCUCUUUGUACAUGUGUGCGGGGCUGUGUCUCCGUGUAUGUGGUCUGAGUGUCUGUGUCU
rnacentral:lncRNA from 1 species